rnacentral:piRNA from 1 species
GAUAAUCAAUGGGAAAGACGUUG